UACGUAGGGGGCUAGCGUUGUCCGGAAUCAUUGGGCGUAAAGCGCGUGUAGGCGGUUCGGUAAGUCCGCUGUGAAAGUCGGGGGCUCAACCCUCGGAUGCCGGUGGAUACUGUCGGGCUAGAGUGCGGAAGAGGCGAGUGGAAUUCCUGGUGUAGCGGUGAAAUGCGCAGAUAUCAGGAGGAACACCAAUUGCGAAGGCAGCUCGCUGGGACGUAACUGACGCUGAGACGCGAAAGCGUGGGGAGCAAACAGG
rnacentral:rRNA from 1 species